UAUUAAUAAAAUUCCUUUCUAGAUUGCAAAAUAAUAACAUGCACCUGACUUUAGGAACAUGUGUAGUUCCAUCCGUGCUUGCAUGUCACAAGCUUGACGCUGCAUUGAACAUUUGCUUUCCUCUGGAAGAUGAACAAGACGAAAAGCAAACAAACAAAAGUUAUGCCUGGGUUAGAAUUAAAAACACAGCGGCUGUGUGGUUAAUUUGCAGGAAGCAUUCUUCAGGAACAAAAACACCCAACACGUGAUGCCUGAAACGCGAACAGCAGUCGCACCUGAUGCUUUUUGCUCAGGUGUAGAUGUGUCUAACAUCCUCGGGGAGGCUCAUCACAGGAAUAUCCCAUGACAUGACCAUACUCCUGUAUUGAAUCAGCACUAAAAUGGGCUCUGACACCAAGGACACGCCGCUUCCCACCCCUCACACACGCCUUGGGGCCGCAGCAGGCCCAAGCCCCUCAGGGUAGCUCAGAGUAAGGUGAGGGUCCAGGGACCGGCCCUUGGCUGCUCCCCAGGGAUUGAGAAAGGGGUUGGGAACACCCCAAAACAGACCCUGGCACCACGGGGAGAGCCACCCUGCCAUCUCCUUAGGGCCUGGCAAUGCCGGAGGGGGGAAAAGGGACACCCCCCCGCUCAGUGCCUGACAGGAGAGGGACCGCCAUCUCCACAGAGCCUGCAAACACCGUGGGAGGGCCGGGACCCGAAGAAGGGACUUUCCCCUUCGCUCAGCGCCUGAGGGGAGAGGCGCUGCCAUCUCCUCAGCGCCGGGAAACGCCGCGACCGCUGGGCUUUGGGACUAGAGGGGGAACAUAAACCCUACAGGAGCCUUCCCCCUGCCCCGGGGCCUGAUGGAAAGGACAGACUGGGAGGGAAAAAACAGGGGGGAAGAGCCCGGGGCUGCCCGUGCUGAGGCGCGGGCAUGGCGCCUCCAUCCCCCGCUCUCCUCAGGGACGGCGCCGCCCCGAGCGGCCGGCGAGGCGGGGAAGGAGCCAGGGCCGGGGGGGGGGGGGGGGAGAUGGGGCAGCGGCCCCGGCUACCGCGGCAACAGGCGGCCACCGCCGGCCCGGGGCCGCUCCCCUCAGCGCGGUGGGCGGCCAAAGGGCGACCCCCGCAGCGCUCCUCGCUCCUACCCAGCCACCCGCACCCCCCUCACUCACCCCCGGGCGCGUUUCUCCCCGGGAAAUGGCCUCCACAGCUCGCCCAGAAAUUUUGAAAGCAAAACUUGGACCGGUUGUGAUGUUUGAGAUAUUCUCACAGACUGCAUGUGAUCGCUGCAUACAGUGAAAGAGGAGGUGUUAGGACUAAAUCAUGACUUUCAUGCAGCAGGAGCUGCAGGUUUUGGUUACCUGAUAUGAAGCACAGCCUCAGAAGUUCAUCAGCAAUGCACGAUAUUUGAGCAAGAUGCCAUACAGGACAGAUUCAGAAUCUCAGGCAAGUCUGAAACUACAGAAACGGAACAGAGAACAAGCUGAAAGAAACAAAAACUCCACACAAGGGAAAAACAAAGCAAGGAAAUCUGAAGUUCCAUCUUUGCUACAGGUUGUUAUGACACGCUAUGGCCAUCAAGCAUACCAGUCAUCACACAGGUAACUAUCUACAUUGUGGUCAUACAGAGCUGCCAAUGCAAAAGAUUCCAUUUUACAGCACCUGCCUUAAAAAUCCAAAAGAAAAAGAAUAAAAAGCCACAAGAACUGAAUUAAGAAAAAAUAGUUCAAUUAACAACUACAUUUUUCAGCUGUUCCUACACCCACUGCAUCUUUCAGUUUCUUAGAGGGGUCAGAUUCUUGUUCAUGACAAAGCUGUACUGUGCUUCCACAGCAGAAUGAAGAAGAAAUAAAAUUCAUUUAAACCCCUUAAUGCUCAGUAAAACAAGGAACUGUUGUACAUUACAUGAUGCAAAAGUACUUGUGUAAUGGCUUGUAGAUUCACAGAAGUCCAAGGGACCACAGUAAUUCAGCAGUCAUGCAGAGCUCCCCAAAUUAUGUUAUUCACUCAAUAGUUGUUCACCGUCUUGCAGACCAGAACUGCAGUUCAUAAUAGCAGCAUCAUGGGAUGAGAUCUCACUGAUCAUCAAAAGAAGUUUGUUUUUUUCUGCUUGAACUUAUUUUUAGUGUAAGACAUCCGAUAACUCAGAUAUUCUACUGUCUGUGUGGUUUUAAUGAAUUUUCAGUCAUCCAUAGCCAUCUGUUGGAACAACACUCAUCGAAAUUUAAUUAUUUUGAAUAUUCUACCCUAUACAAUUGCUCAUCCAUAAUACAAAACUUGGAAUAAGACUGAACUGACAUUAAGGAAAACACUAUGGUCACACAUGGACUGGUUCCUUUAUAAAACUAGUUUAAAAAAAAUUAAAAAAAUUAAAUCCAAAGUUCUUCAACAGUAUAGCACACACCAAAAACUGUUCUUGACUUUUCCAGGUGACAAAGACCAAUAAUUAUAUCAUACUAAGCUGUGUUAAUAUUUGCCUUUCUCUAAAGGAAAAGCAAGCAUUUUUUUGUUUGAGUGUAACUGAAAACAAGGAGGGGGCUGUUGAACUCGGAAGUGCAUUAAUGCAAGUUUUGUGCAAGUCUUCCCAGCCACCAGUUUAUAACAUUUCACAGUGUAGAAAUUACAGAAAAAUAGAUUCCUUAGUGAUUCAAAAUAAGGUAGGGAAAUUCUCUGGUCUCAGAGAGGUCUUCACCUUAUAGAAAUCUAGGGAAAUCUUAUACCAGUGCUAGAAAAUGCACAAAGGAGCCCAAUGAGUAAAAGUUAAUGCCAUCUCAAAAAUUGAUGGCCAUAAACGGGUUGAGUUGCCAACUGAAUUGCUUCUCCCUCAGCCAAAACUUCCACUUGCUUAAUCCACGUGUAGGAGGAUCAGCUACAACCUACCACAUCUGAUGACUGUAUCUCACCAGGUACCCAAUUUCCUAAGAACAUCAUAAGAACAGAGUCUGCUGCUGCAAUUGUCGUGCUAUUUCCCAGAUAACUUUAAUAUGCUGAGAUCAGGAUAUCUGUGCUUAUUGCUGUUCAUAGUCUGUUUUCCAUUUGCUGUCAUCUCCAUAAGGAUAUUCUCAGAGUUAAAAUGUAUUAAACAUGAAAAUGUAGUGCUGCAUCUCUCAUCAGAGUAUGAUAUUUCUCAAAACAGACAUGGCUCAUCACAAAGGUUAAUCUGUUUUCCAAAACACCAUUUGGUAGUUCCAUUGAACUCUUGUCUUAAUCCAAAAUACCCCAAAAGUUCUGUGAUACACUUUAAGCAUUAGAAAAACAGUCAAAGCAUAUUAACACAGGGAGGUGGUUUUUUGGAGGUGUUUUUUUGUUGUUGGGUGGGUUUUGUUUGUUUGUUGGCUUGUUUUUUAAUAAAGGAAAUCAACAUUUUAUUUAUUGAUUUACCAGCUAGGAAUCCAGAGAAUAAAAGUCAAGAACUGCUAAAUUUUCUAGUCAGGUUCCCAGGAGAGCAAAACUAGCCAUGCCCAGCUGGAACUCAGGCACUGAGUACAGUUAGAUUUCUCACUCAUGCCUGAGCACUCUCAAGAGCUACAGACAUUACAUAUUCCCCGUAGCCUACACGUCUGGGUAAAGGAGUUUCAAGGAUGAAACUUCAAUGAGGCAGAAAAAGUUGGAGGAAAUCUUGGUUCCAGUCUGCUUCACUAAGAGCCGUUCUGAACUUAGAUCCCUGUGAUACUUUGCCAGUCCCCAACAGCAAGAUCACAACUGCAUGGACUUCCUCCUUACCAGUAUUUGUUCACACUCAUGCAAAAUAAAUGCUGUAGGUGAGAAAGCCUCAGGAACCUUCCCACUGGAGACAACAGUUUAGUAGCUAGAGCAUUCAUGUGAAGGGGAAACAAAUCCAGUUCUCCUACAGCAUAAGUGAACUUUCUAAAUACUAGUAAAAAGAUGGGAUGUUGCUUCCAUGCUUCCUGUGUUAUAGCAGAAAAUAUGGAUGCAGUCCCCAGAGAGAGUGUGAGUCACAGAGUUUCAGAUAUGGAAAAAAAUCUGUCUUCUACAAUGUGAAAUUAAGUCUAUAGAGUAAACAUUCUCUUAUGUGGUUGGGUUUGUUCUCAAAUCAGGUCAUUACAUUUAGGUCAGAGUCUUUCCCUAACAUGCACAGUACUGGCAAAUGCAGCGGAUAUUACUUUGACUUGGCUGCAUUCAGGCUUUCCUAUUCUACAAAGCAAAGUGAUCUUCCAUGAACUUGGCAAACAUUAAAACAUGCAAUGGGCGACUGUUUCGGCUGUGUGCACACCUCUCCCAUACACUUUUUCUUUUAAGUGACACUGCUUUUGCAAUAGUUAUAUUCAGUUUUCGAUACAUAUUUCUGAUAGUAAUUUGAAUAUGCUGCUCAAUUACCAACCUCACAUCUAUUCUGGUUGUUAUACUGCCAUCAUCAGUGUACUACAUGAACAAAAUAAUGAACAAUUAUUAUUUGACUC